UGGGGAAUAUUGCACAAUGGGGGAAACCCUGAUGCAGCAACGCCGCGUGAGUGAAGAAGGUUUUCGGAUCGUAAAGCUCUGUUUUCAGGGACGAACGGCAGAAAUAUGAAUAAUAUAUCUGCAUGACGGUACCUGAGGAGGAAGCCACGGCUAACUACGUGCCAGCAGCCGCGGUAAUACGUAGGUGGCAAGCGUUGUCCGGAAUUAUUGGGCGUAAAGGGCGUGUAGGCGGGAUAAUAAGUCUGUUGUAAAAGUGCGGGGCUAAACCCCGUAAGGUCAAUGGAAACUGUUAUUCUUGAGUGCAGGAGAGGAGAGUGGAAUUCCCAGUGGAGCGGUGAAAUGCGUAGAUAUUGGGAGGAACACCAGUGGCGAAGGCGACUUUCUGGACUGUGUCUGACGCUGAGGCGCGAAAGCCAGGGGAGCGAACG
rnacentral:rRNA from 1 species